rnacentral:rRNA from 1 species
GACGAACGCUGGCGGCGUGCCUAAUACAUGCAAGUAGAACGCAGUUGCGAACGGGUGAGGAACGCGUAGGUAACUGGCUCAUAGCGGGGGGUUACUAUUGGAAACGAUAGCUAAUACCGCAUACUGUGAGAUGGACCUGCUUUGUAUUAGCGAGUUGGUGAGGUAAAGGCUCACCAAGGCGACGAUACAUAGCCCACCCGAGAGGGUGAGCGGCCCAACUGGGACUGAGACACGGCCCAUAAUCCUACGGGAGGGAGCCGUAGGGCAUCUUCGGAAAUGGACGGAAGUCUGACCGAGCAACGGCGGGUGAGUGAAGAAGGUUUUCGGAUCGUAAAGCUCUGUUGUGAGAGAAGCGGUAACUAAACAGAAAGGGACGGCUAACUACGUGCCAGCAGCCGCGGUAAUUC